UGGCUCAUUUGGAAAAGCAGUUUUUUUACUCUAGCUUAUUUUGUAGGAAAACAUUUGGCAAAAUAGCUUCUCCUAGCUUUUUAGAUUGGAAGGAAGAUGUUAUAAAAAAUAUCCAAAAUACCCUUAGAUUUCUUUUUUCUCAUUUGUUUUUCUUUUUCUCUUCAUUUUCCUUUUCUUUUUCUUUCUUUUUUUAUUUCUCUUUCCUUCUCCCCUUCUUUUCUUUUCCCCUCCUCUCUCUCCUUAUCCGAUCAGCCUCUCCCUCCGCCUCAACCUCCGCCCCUCCACCGCCACCCCGCCGGUCCCGGCUCCCUCCGCCGCCACUGCCAGUCUCCGUUCGCCCUGCGCCGUCUCGCUGGAGCUCCACCGCCAGUCUCCGUCUGCCUCGCCACCAGGUUAGCCCCGAGGAUAGCGAUGGAAUUUGGACUCGUUCGGAUGGGGAGGAGCCACGAUAAGCCACUAUUUUUAGCUUCUCGCAUGGGGAGGAACUGAGUCAGCGCGUUUUGCGGGGCUUCUGCCCGACUUCUUGCCAUGAGCCAUUGCACUUUGCACCAUUUGGCAUGGCUUCAUAAAAAACCGCUCGAGAAGCCGGCUGAUGAGCC
rnacentral:lncRNA from 1 species